rnacentral:rRNA from 1 species
AUUGAACGCUGGCGGCAGGCCUAACACAUGCAAGUCGAACGGUAGCAGGAAGAAGCUUGCUUCCUUGCUGACGAGUGGCGGACGGGUGAGUAAUGUCUGGGAAACUGCCUGAUGGAGGGGGAUAACUACUGGAAACGGUAGCUAAUACCGCAUAACGUCGCAAGACCAAAGAGGGGGACCUUCGGGCCUCUUGCCAUCGGAUGUGCCCAGAUGGGAUUAGCUAGUAGGUGGGGUAACGGCUCACCUAGGCGACGAUCCCUAGCUGGUCUGAGAGGAUGACCAGCCACACUGGAACUGAGACACGGUCCAGACUCCUACGGGAGGCAGCAGUGGGGAAUAUUGCACAAUGGGCGCAAGCCUGAUGCAGCCAUGCCGCGUGUAUGAAGAAGGCCUUCGGGUUGUAAAGUACUUUCAGCGGGGAGGAAGGGAGUAAAGUUAAUACCUUUGCUCAUUGACGUUACCCGCAGAAGAAGCACCGGCUAACUCCGUG